AGACGACGCUGGCGGCGUGCUUAACACAUGCAAGUCUACGAGAACGAGGUAGCAAUAUCUUUAGUAAAGUGGCGUACGGGUGCGUAACACGUAAGUAAUCUACCUUUGGGUUCGGAAUAACUUCGGGAAAUCGGAGCUAAUACCGGAUAAUGCAGCGGCACCGCAUGGUGAUGUUGUUAAAGUUUGUGUAACGCCUAAAGAUGAACUUGCGUCUGAUUAGCUAGUUGGUGAGGUAAAAGCUCACCAAGGCUGCGAUCAGUAGCUGGUCUGAGAGGAUGAUCAGCCACACUGGAACUGAGACACGGUCCAGACUCCUACGGGAGGCAGCAGUGAGGAAUAUUGGGCAAUGCCCGAAAGGGUGACCCAGCAACGCCGCGUGGAGGAUGAAGGUCGUAAGAUUGUAAACUCCUGUUAGAGGGGAAGAAUAACUAAGUUUGGAGCUUAGUAUGACUGUACCCUCAGAGAAAGCCCCGGCUAACUACGUG
rnacentral:rRNA from 1 species